rnacentral:rRNA from 13 species
AAGGGCAAAUGAAGCUUGUCAGGCAAAAGGCGGAAGUAUUUGCUUCGAUGACGGGAAAGGAGGGCGAAUCCAGGAGCUUUGCUGUUGAAGGCAGCCAAUGACAGCAAAGCUACCCCCGA